GAAGCUGACCAGACAGUCGCCGCUUCGUCGUCGUCCUCCUUCGGGGGGAGACGGGCGGAGGGGAGGAAAGUCCGGGCUCCAUAGGGCAAGGUGCCAGGUAACGCCUGGGGGGUGUCACAGCCCACGACCAGUGCAACAGAGAGCAAACCGCCGAUGGCCCGCGCAAGCGGGAUCAGGUAAGGGUGAAAGGGUGCGGUAAGAGCGCACCGCGCGGCUGGUAACAGUCCGCGGCACGGUAAACUCCACCCGGAGCAAGGCCAAAUAGGGGGUCAUAAGGUACGGCCCGUACUGAACCCGGGUAGGCUGCUUGAGCCAGUGAGCGAUUGCUGGCCUAGAUGAAUGACUGUCCACGACAGAACCCGGCUUAUCGGUCAGUUUCACCU
rnacentral:RNase_P_RNA from 1 species